rnacentral:rRNA from 1 species
AGGAUGAACGCUAGCGGCAGGCUUAAUACAUGCAAGUCGUGGGGCAGCGCGGGUAGCAAUACCUGGCGGCGACCGGCAAACGGGUGAGGAACACGUACGCAACCUUCCUUUAACUGGAGAAUAGCCCCUCGAAAGAGGGAUUAAUACUCCGUAACACAAUGAUAAGGCAUCUUAUUAUUAUUAUAGUUUCGACGGUUAAAGAUGGGCGUGCGACUGAUUAGAUAGUUGGCGGGGUAACGGCCCACCAAGUCUGCGAUCAGUAACUGGUGUGAGAGCACGACCAGUCACACGGGCACUGAGACACGGGCCCGACUCCUACGGGAGGCAGCAGUAAGGAAUAUUGGUCAAUGGACGCAAGUCUGAACCAGCCAUGCCGCGUGGAGGAUUAAGGCCCUCUGGGUUGUAAACUCCUUUUAUCUGGGAAGAAUGUUUCGAUUCUUCGGAACUUGACGGUACAGAGGAUAAGCACCGGCUAACUCCGUGCCAGCAGCCGC